rnacentral:rRNA from 1 species
UGCGCAGGCGGUCUGUCAAGUCGGAUGUGAAAUCCCCGGGCUCAACCUGGGAACUGCAUUCGAAACUGGCAGGCUAGAGUGCGGUAGAGGGUGGUGGAAUUCCCGGUGUAGCGGUGAAAUGCGUAGAGAUCGGGAGGAACAUCCGUGGCGAAGGCGGCCACCUGGACCAGCACUGACGCUGAGGCACGAAAGCGUGGGGAGCAAACAGGAUUAGAUACCCCCGUA